UACGUAGGGGGCAAGCGUUGUCCGGAUUUACUGGGCGUAAAGAGCGUGUAGGCGGCCACGCAGGUCCGUUGUGAAAACUGGAGGCUCAACCUUCAGACGUCGACGGAAACCGUAUGGCUAGAGUCCGGAAGAGGAGAGUGGAAUUCCUGGUGUAGCGGUGAAAUGCGCAGAUAUCAGGAAGAACACCAAUGGCGAAGGCAGCUCUCUGGGACGGUACUGACGCUGAGGAGCGAAAGCGUGGGGAGCAAACAGG
rnacentral:rRNA from 1 species